rnacentral:rRNA from 1 species
UACGUAGGGUGCAAGCGUUUGUCCGGAAUUAUUGGGCGUAAAGAGCUCGUAGGCGGCCUGUCGCGUCGGCUGUGAAAACCCGGGGCUCAACCCCGGGCCUGCAGUCGAUACGGGCAGACUAGAGUGCGGUAGGGGAGACUGGAAUUCCUGGUGUAGCGGUGAAAUGCGCAGAUAUCAGGAGGAACACCGGUGGCGAAGGCGGGUCUCUGGGCCGUAACUGACGCUGAGGAGCGAAAGCGUGGGGAGCGAACAGG